UUUUUUUUUUUUUCUUUUUUUUUUUUCGGCCAGAAUGUAGUCACAGGACUAUAUAUCCAGUCAUAAAGGAGGGCUAGUAUGUAGAGAUUUCAGUUGGGCACACUGCUAUCACCAAAAAGUCAGGGUUCUAUUACAGAAGUAGGAAAGGACAGGUGACAAGGAAGUGGCAAUUAGCAGCCCCUGCCAUUCCUCCUUCAUGUUUCCAGCCUUUCACUCUAUAUUCCAUGCCGUUCCCAGCAGCCAGAACAGUACUCUUCUGUACAAAACUUGCCAGUAGCUCCUAACACUCUCAGAAUCAAAGCCAAAGUCCCUACAAGGCCCUAUGCAACCUGGCCCCAUUGUCCCUCUGACCUCAUCUGUCACUUUCCUACCUCAUCGUUGCUCAUCAAACAAAACUUGCUCCUCUAUCAGGGCCUUUGCCUAGAAAGUUCUUUCCCCAGAUCUCUCCAUGGUUGGUUUGCCCUUUGACUUUCUUCCAAUUUCUGUACAAUGUUACCUUAGCCAAGGAGUCGUUUCUGACUACCACACAUAAUGCACACAUGGCCUGCCUUCUUUAUUCCCUGCAAUGUCUUUCAUUUUCUCCAUAGAAUGUACCGUAAUUUCAAAUGCUGGUAUUAUUUUUUAUUUGUUGUGUAUCUCCCCUCACUCAAAAACAAGCAUCAUGAAAGCCAUGACUUUUGUCUCAUUCAUUCAAUGUUCUUGCCCCAGCACCUAGGAUAGUCUGACAGGUAGGGGUCACUCAGCAGUUUUAAUAUGAAGGGUCUGAAGUUCAGUGUGUCAAAUCUCAUUAUUCUGUGGCUGGAAUUGAAGAUGAGAGGUGGGGGGAAUGGAGAACAGGUCUGCAUCCUAUCGUAACAUUCAAAUGAUCAUCAAAAGAAAUGACUGAGGUUAAAAAUACAUUUAUUGAAAGAAAAAAGAAUGAAUAAAGGAAUGAAUGAAUGAACCCUUCAUCACCUCCAUGACCCAUGGUCUAAUCAGCAAUUCAACUGUUCCCUGCAGUUAAGAAUGCCUCAUGACAUGGAAACAACCCAAGUGUCCUAUCAGCUGAUAAUUGGCUUAAGAAGACGUGAAAUAUAUACAACGGAACAUUACUUAGCUAUAAAAAGGAAUGAAAUAAUACCAUUUACAGCAAAAUGGAUGGACCUAGAGAAUAUUAUACCUAGUGAAAUGAACUUCGUGUAAUGCAAGAAAGAAUGCAGAGAUAUGUUUGGGGGAUGACGGCGACCCUGCCUGGAGAAAGAAGGGGGAGAUCUGUGCAGCUGCAACACUGCUAAGAAUGGAGGAUCCCAAUACACAGGAACCAACUGGAGUUUCGUCUGAAGGUUCUUUAGGGUUUCACCCCUUCAAGCCAGGGCCCACAGACCUCUUAGCUCUUAGGCAAGUGUUCAGCAGAAAUCCUUGAUCUAUUUUAAUUAAAUGGAUGCUGCAGAGAACACAACAUUAAUGUAGGGAGGGCAUAAAAGACAGGCAUGGCUUAGAUUUUUGCAGAAAGAAACCAUUUAUCCAAAAUGGUCCUGUUAGGUGCAGGCACUGUUUCCUAGUCCUGACACGGCACAGGGCAAGCAAGCCUAACUGUUGGAAUUUGGUGAUGCUUUCCAACUCUGAGAAAAGGGAAGUCCCACAAUAGCCAUUUUCUUCUUACACUGAAUUUUCUUUAAAAUUCUUUGUUUAGUCUACAUAAAAAGCCUAAAAAAAUUAACUUUGUUUACAAUUAAUGAAAAAAAAAAUCUUCUUAAUAUGUUCAGGUAUUGAAUGUCUUACUCUAAGAGUAAGAAUUCUUUCACUUUAACAGUGCGGAUCACUGUUUGGACCAUAUUUUUAAAUCUUGGCAGAACAUCUUAUUACACAAACUUCAGAGUGGAUUGUCUGGCUGAUUUAUUUUUCACGAUGCUCAUAAGAAGUUCUAAACUGCAUUCAAUUUUUUUGCUUAUCUUUUUCUUAUAAAAAUUCUUGACCAGGCUCAAUCUAUAUUAAUAUAGUUUAAGAUCAAUAUAUUCUUUUCAAUCACUCAAUAAAUACACAUUUAGCACUAUUAUGUGCCUACCACUUUGCUGACUGCCAUGAAGCAAAACAGAAAAGUGUGAGAACAGCUGUUCAGCUUUCAAAGAAUGUGCUAUCUUUUCAGGAAGAUAGGAUUGUCAUAAGUGAAGAAAUUUGACAAUAAUGCAAGGCAGCGUAUAAUUAAAUGAUAAACUGUUGCACAUUGUAAAUAGCAGUCUUUCAAAUCCUUAGAGAAUCCCAAUAUUCAAUUCAUUUCCAAAAGAAACAAAUUUUCUUUUAUUGUUGAAAUUGUCUUGCAAACCUUUGUCCUUUGAGUAUAGAAGUGAUUUUUAGACUUGAGAGUUAUUUACAGGCAAAUAAGAAGAAUGAAGUAGAUGACUGAAUUGGUGAUUAUUUUUGGUCCAAGAGGGGUGUGACUCUGUAAAUCAUGGUUUGAGCUCCCUGUGCAGCUUUUACAUUGACUGUAUCUGUUGCACAUUAUCCAUGGGGAGGAAGUCAGAUGGCAGCCAGGGAGAGCAAGGAGUCUUCAGGGGGGCAAGAAAAGCCUGGAAAAGCCUGGGAAACUAAAUGGGGCCUCUAAAAGACAUUAUUUCCAAUAACUAAUUGAAUAAAUCUUUUUCAGAUGAA
rnacentral:lncRNA from 9 species